UACGGAGGGUGCAAGCGUUAAUCGGAAUUACUGGGCGUAAAGCGCGCGUAGGCGGUUUUUUAAGUCGGAUGUGAAAGCCCCGGGCUCAACCUGGGAACUGCAUCCGAUACUGGAAGACUAGAAUGCGGGAGAGGGAGGUAGAAUUCCAUGUGUAGCAGUGAAAUGCGUAGAUAUAUGGAGGAACACCAGUGGCGAAGGCGGCCUCCUGGCUCGACAUUGACGCUGAGGUGCGAAAGCGUGGGGAGCAAACGGC
rnacentral:rRNA from 1 species